UACGUAGGGUGCGAGCGUUGUCCGGAAUUAUUGGGCGUAAAGAGCUCGUAGGCGGUGUGUCGCGUCGGCCGUGAAAACCUGGGGCUUAACUCUGGGCGUGCGGUCGAUACGGGCAUCACUAGAGUUCGGCAGGGGAGACUGGAAUUCCUGGUGUAGCGGUGAAAUGCGCAGAUAUCAGGAGGAACACCCGUGGCGAAGGCGGCUCUCUGGGACGGUACUGACGCUGAGACGCGAAAGCGUGGGGAGCGAACAGG
rnacentral:rRNA from 1 species